GCCUGGCUGGCUCAGUUGGUAGAGCGCGUGACUCUUGAUCUCGUUGGGGGUUGUGGGUUCGAGCCCCAUGUUGGGCG